GAUACACACCCGCGUCGCCCGGAGCUUUCCUUCCGCUAGCGCCCGUACCUCAGCCGUCCGGUGUAGGCUUCGCCACGGUCUCCCCGUGGGAGCUCCUGGUACAGGGGAGGCAGGAGGCGGACGCGGGCACGGAGGUGGCUUUGCGCCAUCACCGGAGUGGGGAGGUGAACCUCGGCCUCCGACGCAGGACAAGCGGAGCACAGGGCGGCGGCAUGCCGCGCAGGAAGAAGCGGCGCGAGGGCCGGGGGGUCACGGCGCGAGGGGCCGGGGGGUCGCGGCGCGAGGGACGGCGAGGAUGCUGCGCGAGGGAAGGUGGAUCCGCCCGAUCCGCUCACCUUUUCCGCCUCCGCCCCGUUGCCCACCAUCCCGCGGCUCCACGCAACGCCCUUCCGCUCCGACCACCCCGCCGCCCUCUGCCCCAACUCGCGGCCCUUGGGGCGCCGGCUCGGGGCCCUCGACCCCAAACGCACGGCCGCUCCGCCCCGGCGCCGUGAUAAUGAAGGGGGCAGCAGAACGCCGCCCACGGCGGAGGCCUUGGAGACGGCGAGGGCGGGCACGACGGCUUCCACGGGCGCGACCACGACCCCCUCCCGCACCUCCGCCACGCAUCCCUAGGCCUCGCCGCCCUCUUCCCUGCAGGUGCGUGGCGGCCACCAUUCCAUCGCGCGGAGAUGCUGCCACACCGUCAUCCCGUCGAAGCCGAUGUCUUGAUCUUCAGCCCGUAGGCGCCGUCGGGGCGAUGGCGGCUUCUCUGCAUUUCGUGGGAAGGUGGAUUUCUGGGUGAUCUUGAGCGGCUUCGACUUCAUCAUUUUAAUCUUGUGGUAUCGCAUUGCAUCCUGUUCAGCUCUAUACUGUGGAUGAGGAUCUCUGUCCUUGCCGAGGCUGCAGAUAGGCCGGAGCUGACACCCAUAGACAGCCUCUCAGGUGGUGGCUCUGAAAGAAUGCAUGCCUAGGCUGGGAGAUUCAAUUUGUUCAUGUGCUCAUAGUACAAAGCUGAAUAGUCAUAUGCUCAUAGUCGAGUAUUUUAUCAAAUUUGGAAGUAAUAAAUUCACAUUAUGUUUGUUAAUUUCCCCCAAAAAUCUUAAGUUGUCUGAUUCAUUCAGUAUGAAUUUUGGUUAUUGUUCAGACAAUUUUGGGUCUACCCAGUUUUGGAAUUCAUGCUGCUUGUUGUUUCAGUUCGAAUUCAUGUGGACCUGUUUGAGUUUAGCUGGAAUGCUGGACGCUUCAAAGGGGACCCUAGGGAGAGCUACCGCUGCGAUGCAGAUAAAGAAGGUCACUUGCAACGGUGUGACAUCCUUGCUGAACCAAACAAAUACAGAAAAUGACGUCAUGGGACAAUGAGAUUUUGAGCAAUGGAACACCAACGUCUGAUUUUUUUAUGAUAGUUGACUGCGUUGUAACAAUCCUUUUGAAAGGACACAAAUAGUAGUUUGAUGUAAUCUAAUCACUUUUAAAUAAUUGGACUUUAAAAACAUACCUCUGUCAUGUGCUGAUAUGGAAAUGGAGAGUCUACUCAGGGAUUCAGGGAUGGAAGGCACCGGGAGAAAGGAGUGAGUGAGGGUUUGUUGCUCUCUGCCAUAGUGCUACGCAUAUGUUCAUAAGAGCUAUUCAUUUA